CAAGAGAGGGCUUUGGCGACAGAGAUAUUCUGAUCGUAACAAAGUCUUCACGUAGGUAUUGAUAAGUUAACUAAGACAAUUUCUUAAUGCCUAAAACUGCUAGAUCAAAUGAAGUAGCCCCAUUCCUUUAUUUUAUUUGUUUUAUGUGCACUCCAAAUGAAAUAAAAAGUGCAACAAAUAGGUCUAAACCCACAUCAAGAGUGAUGGACGGAAUUAGUUCAAUCUUGAUUAGAAUGGUUGCGCACACAAUCUGUUUUCCUCUUUCUGAUUUUAUUAACAACUGUUUUCUAGUGAGAAUUUGGCAUGAACACUUCAAAGCAGCGGUAACGGUGCACAUAUUUAAUACAACGAACAAAUGCUGGCCCAUAUCGCUAAUUUCCAAUUUUGCUGAAAACUAGUCAAAUAUUGUUCCACUAUACUGUCAAGCAUGUGGUCAAUACAGAACCGUAUGCAAGUAAGAACUGCGGCCAUGCGUUUUGAGUUAAGAUAUUGAGCUACCUAAAGCCACCAGCACAUCUGCUUUGAGCAGCGCAGGAGUGAUGAGAUUGUUUAAUAAAGUUGGGGAAACAGUAAAUAAAAUGACCUAUAAAAUGGAUGAAUCUGACCCAUGGUUUGAAAAUAAAUUAGCUCAUGUAGAAUCUCUUGAAUCUCAAUUAAGGAAACUUCAUAAUAGUGUAGAAGCUCUAGUAACAUAUCGUAAAGAAUUAGCUAAUCUAACCAAUGGAGUAGCUCGUUCAGCAGCAAUGCUAAGUGCU